rnacentral:rRNA from 1 species
AUUGAACGCUGGCGGCAGGCCUAACACAUGCAAGUCGAGCGGAUGAAGGGAGCUUGCUCCUGGAUUCAGCGGCGGACGGGUGAGUAAUGCCUAGGAAUCUGCCUGGUAGUGGGGGAUAACGUCCGGAAACGGGCGCUAAUACCGCAUACGUCCUGAGGGAGAAAGUGGGGGAUCUUCGGACCUCACGCUAUCGGAUGAGCCUAGGUCGGAUUAGCUAGUUGGUGGGGUAAAGGCCUACCAAGGCGACGAUCCGUAACUGGUCUGAGAGGAUGAUCAGUCACACUGGAGGUGAGACGCGGUCCCGGCACCUAGGGAAGGCAGCGAUGGGAAAUUUUGGCAAAAGGGGGAAAGCCUGAACCAUCCACGGCGGUUGUAUGAAGAAGGGCUGCGGGUGGUAAAACGCUUUAAGGUGGGGAAAAGGGCUGUAAGUUUAACCCUGCGUGUUUGACGGUAACCAAUAAAAAAGCCCCGGCUAAAUUCGUG